rnacentral:rRNA from 1 species
UACGUAGGUGGCAAGCGUUGUCCGGAUUUACUGGGCGUAAAGAGCGCGCAGGCGGUCGAUUUAGUCGUGUGUGAAAGCCCCCGGCUCAACUGGGGAGGGUCACGCGAUACUGAUCGACUCGAAGGCAGGAGAGGGUAGUGGAAUUCCCGGUGUAGUGGUGAAAUGCGUAGAUAUCGGGAGGAACACCAGUGGCGAAGGCGACUUCCUGGCCUGUUCUUGACGCUGAGGCGCGAAAGCGUGGGGAGCAAACAGG